rnacentral:rRNA from 1 species
AUGAAUUAUUCUCUUGUUAUUAAACUGUUUGAUGUCUGGGGCUUUGAUUAUAUGGGACCUUUUCCUGCCUCUAAUGGUUAUACACAUAUUUUAGUUGCUGUUGAUUACGUUACUAAGUGGGUAGAAGCUAUUCCAACUAGUAGUGCUGAUCAUAACACUUCUAUUAAAAUGCUUAAAGAAGUUAUUUUUCCGAGGUUUGGAGUCCCUAGAUAUCUUAUGACUGAUGGUGGUUCACAUUUUAUUCAUGGUGCUUUCCGUAAGAUGCUUGCUAAGUAUGAUGUCAAUCAUAGAAUAGCAUCUCCUUAUCAUCUGCAGGCUAGUGGUCAAGUAGAGUUGAGCAAUAGAGAGCUCAAAUUAAUUUUGCAAAAGACUGUGAAUAGAUCUAGAAAGAAUUGGUCCAAAAAACUUGAUGAUGCAUUAUGGGCCUAUAGAACUGCAUACAAAAAUCCUAUGGGUAUGUCUCCUUAUAAGAUGGUUUAUGGGAAAGCAUGUCAUUUACCUCUUGAACUUGAACAUAAGGCAUAUUGGGCUAUCAAAGAGCUCAAUUAUGACUUCAAACUUGCUGGUGAGAAGAGGUUGUUUGAUAUUAGCUCACUUUAUGAAUGGAGAACCCAAGCAUAUGAGAAUGCCAAGCUUUUCAAAGAAAAAGUCAAACGCUGGCAUGAUAAGAGGAUACAAAAGCGUGAGUUUAACGUAGGAGAUUAUGUGUUAUUAUUCAACUCUCAUUUAAGAUUUUUUGCAGGAAAACUUCUCUCAAAAUGGGAAGGUCCUUACGUUAUCGAGGAGGUCUAUCGUUCUGGUGCUAUAAAAAUCAACAACUUCAAAGGCACAAAUCCAAGGGUGGUUAACGGUCAAAGAAUUAAACAUUAUAUUUCAGGUAAUCCUAUCAAUGUUGAAACUAAUAUUAUUGAAACCAUAACCCCUGAGGAAUACAUAAGGGACACUUUCCAGAACGUUCCAGACUCCGAAAAGGCAUAG